rnacentral:rRNA from 1 species
UACGUAGGGUGCGAGCGUUAAUCGGAAUUACUGGGCGUAAAGUGUGCGCAGGCGGCCGAGCAAGUCGAGUGUGAAAGCCCCGAGCUUAACUUGGGAACUGCGCUCGAAACUACUUGGCUAGAGUGUGGCAGAGGGAGGUGGAAUUCCACGUGUAGAGGUGAAAUUCGUAGAUAUUCGGAAGAACACCAGUGGCGAAGGCGGCUCACUGGACGACUGUUGACGCUGAGGUGCGAAAGCGUGGGGAGCAAACAGG